GAUGAACGCUAGCGGCAGGCCUAAUACAUGCAAGUCGAACGGUAAUGGCGCCAGCAAUGGCGCCACAAGAGUGACGCACGGGUGCGUAACACGUAUGCAACCUACCCUUUACAGGAGUAUAGCUCGGGGAAACUCGAAUUAACCCUUCAUAGUAUAAAUGAAUGGCAUCAUUUGUUUAUUAAAUCUGAGGAGGUAAAGGAUGGGCAUGCGUCUGAUUAGCAGUUGGUAGUGUAAUGGACUACCAAGGCGAUGAUCAGUAGGGGAACUGAGAGGUUGAUCCCCCACACUGGC
rnacentral:rRNA from 1 species